CUUUCUUUGCUGGCGACCGGCGCACGGGUGAGUAACACGUAUCCAACCUGCCCUUUACUCGGGGAUAGCCUUUCGAAAGAAAGAUUAAUACCCGAUAGCAUAAUGAUUCCGCAUGGUUUCAUUAUUAAAGGAUUCCGGUAAAGGAUGGGGAUGCGUUCCAUUAGGUUGUUGGUGAGGUAACGGCCCACCAAGCCUUCGAUGGAUAGGGGUUCUGAGAGGAAGGUCCCCCACAUUGGAACUGAGGCACGGUCCAA
rnacentral:rRNA from 1 species